GGUGAACGCUGGCGGUAGGCCUAACACAUGCAAGUCGAACGGCAGCACAGUAAGAGCUUGCUCUUACGGGUGGCGAGUGGCGGACGGGUGAGGAAUACAUCGGAAUCUACUUUUUCGUGGGGGAUAACGUAGGGAAACUUACGCUAAUACCGCAUACGACCUACGGGUGAAAGCAGGGGAUCUUCGGACCUUGCGCGAUUGAAUGAGCCGAUGUCGGAUUAGCUAGUUGGCGGGGUAAAGGCCCACCAAGGCGACGAUCCGUAGCUGGUCUGAGAGGAUGAUCGGCCACACUGGAACGGGGACACGGUCCAGACUCCUACGGGAGGCAGCAGUGGGGAAUGUUGGACAAUGGGCGCAAGCCUGAUCCAGCCAUACCGAGUGGGUGAAGAAGGCCUUCGGGUUGUAAAGCCCUUUUGUUGGGAAAGAAAAGCAGCAGGUUAAUACCCCGCUGUUCUGACGGUACCCAAAGAAUAAGCACCGGCUAACUUCGUG
rnacentral:rRNA from 1 species